rnacentral:lncRNA from 1 species
AUUUCUGUGAGAAUCAAUUAUAUAGAAGCACUGUAUUAGGUACAUAGCCAAAUGAAUGAGUGAGCAGGUUACUGCCUGAGAAGGCUUAACAGUCUAGUGGGGCAGAAAGAAGUGUUAUUAGUAUUACAGUGUCUAAAUGGUACAACAAAGCACUUGGGAAAGAGAGAAGAAAGAGAACAGGGCUUGAUUCAGAUGAACAGAAGAGUCAGGAUUCACAAAAGAGAGGUGGUCUUCACUGAGAAGAUGGGAGCUACUGAAAGGAUAACUGAGCAAAGCCAUGCCAGCCGCCAAUCCACUUGCAUAUUGUAUACUAAGCAGGCAGAAAGCCAGAGAAAGCUUCCAUGGGAUUUAUCCCCUCUCCAUGUGGCUUCAUAUGUGUAAGGAAAAUGGCCGUGCUUUAGUCAGGAACAGGCCGAGGCAGCCUUCUGAUGCAACAUGACUCAGAGGGUUUGGAGUGCAGGCGCACGGUUCCACAUGUUAUGUAACCAUGCCACAUGAGGCACAUUAUGUAACCACACCAUGUGAGGUGCAUUAAGUAACCACUCAAGUGCCCUCACGCUUGGCUUGGAGCCACUAUUGUCUGUAAAAGGUAUAACUACCUUGCUGAUGCUGUACAUAUGGCUUGCUUGUGCCCACAGCCCACUUGCACCCAGAGAGACAAUAAAGCCAUGUUGAAAUUCCUUGCAAUUCUUCGAAUGUUCUUUCAGCUGCCUGCCACUUGUCCACCCACUCCCCUCAGACCUCAGUUAGAACCUGACAAUUGGCACUAUGAGCAGAAUCCCAAGAUUUAGAAGUGGCAACACUCCUCUUUCCUGGGAUUGGAAUGGUGCAGCUGAGACCACUUUCCUGGCAGCCAAGCAGGCACAAGCCCUAUAGGUAAUUAUCCAGAGGCACCCAUUUAAACUCGAUGUGAAUGUGACCACAGAUAGUUUUGGCUGGAGCUUAUAGCAGCACAUGGAGCACUUAAGAAUGCCAGUUGGCUUUUGGUCCCGACUACGGAAAGGAGCUGAGCUCCAGUAUUCAUUGAUAGAGAAGCAGUUAAUAACUGCAUAUGCUACCCUUCAGGUUCAGGAGUGUGUGACCAGACAGGCUACAAUCAUUAUGUGCCUGAUUUACCCAAUAGCAGGAUGGGUGCAUUCAUGGGUAAAGACCCCCCAAGACUGGAACGGUGCAGACAUACACUUUGGCAAAGUGGGGCGCCUACUUGGAGCAGUGGAGUAUGCUGAGUACAAGUCCCUUAUCAGCAGAGUUGCAAGAGGUCUUGGGACCUGCAGCCCUAAUGCAAGAUAAGGCCAUGGGGCCUGAGGCACCCCUAGACCCUGAGCCUUCACCAUUUAAGGAAGGGCAUCCCCUCAUUCCUGAUGGGGCAUGGUACACAGAUGAGUCUAACCAAGGUGCUGCUAUUUGGACCACUGUUACCGUCCAGCCUAGUACUGAUACCAUGCGGUAUGAAACUGGAUGUAGGUGAAGUAGCCAAUGGGCUGAAUUUAGAGCAAUCCUGAUGGUGAUCACCAAGGAGGUGACACCUGUGGUAAUCUAUACUGAUAGCUGGGUGAUCUGUCGAGGCUUAACCUUGUGGUUAACCACUAGAAGUUACAGAAGUGGCCAGUUGGUCACCAGCCCAUGUGGGGCCAAGCCAUGUGGCAAAACCUAUGGGAGGAAGGAUGACUUCCUCUGACCAGGUAUGGAGACAAAUGGUAACCUGUUGUUGCCUGCCCCAACACCCCUGAAGGCAGGGGAACAGAAAACCUGGCUGUGGCCAUGGACCUUCCAAGCCCCCCACUGUUGGUGGUUGGCUGUCAUAGCUCCCUGUGGAGAGGGCCUACAGUAUGACUUGCAUGUCAUUCCUUGGGUGUUCAAUACAUGGUCCCCAUGGUUGACUGUUCACAGGAAUAUCCAGGGAAGGAACCCUCCUCCGGGGGACAUAUAUGCUGUCUGUGUGGCCUAUUAUGAGCUCCCCCAUCCAUGACUUUGGCAUGGAUACAGGACCCAAAGGAACCACGGGGAGCUGAGAAGGUGUGGUAUCAUCGCUCAGGGCAAAAGCUCUUGGCAGAUGCAUUGUCAUCCAGGGAUGAAAGGUUAGCCUGUAUUUUGCCCAAGGGACAUGAUUUACCUCUGUUAGUACCUGUGCCUGCUCUGUCAUUUCAACCAUAGGUUAACAUGCUCUAACUGCAUUGUGGACUGGGCCCACACCUAUGCUGAGGUGACCAAUGUUUCCAACUGUUGGAACCAUACCACCUUUCCAGCAGCAGCUGCAGAUGGCUUGCCGUGGCACAUACAUUCCAUGUCUGCAGAGAAAUGGACAUGGCUGGAGACUUGUGGUCCCAUGGCCGAAGCCUGGAAUACAACACAGCAAGCUUUGGACAAAGGAUGCUACAAGACCCAUGGUGCACCUGCCCCCUGGCUGGCCUGUAGCAUUUAUGACGGGUGGGCUGGCUAGUUGGGGAUUAUGUAGUACCCCCAGCCCAGGUGCCACAGUACAUACAGCAACACUGGGGCAACACCACUGUGGGAUAGGUACCUGUCACAAUCAGAUCAGAAAGAUAGUGUUGCAAAACUGAAUGGCUUUAGACAUAGUAACUGCUGCCCAAGGAGGCGUCUGUGCCCUUUUAGGAAAACAAUGUUGUACCUUUAUCCCUGACAGUUGGCAGAACAUAACAGCAGCCCUGCAAGGGGUCUCGCAGGAGAUUAAGGUGGUUAAGAGCAUUACUGACAACCCCCUGUAGAGAUGGUGGGCAUCUCUGGGCUCUGGACUAUGCUGGGCCCUCAUAGUCAUAAGUAGCAUAGCUGAGAUCCUAGUAGUGAGCUGUUAUUCUUUGUAUUGUGGGUUAUAGAUUCAGGGCUCUGCCCUAUGGGUAGGUGUCCCUGCCCCAGAGGAUGCCCUUAGCCUAGGGAGUAGAGUGUAAGGGAAAUGGCUGUGCUUUAGAAAUAGGCAGAGGUGACCUCUGGUACAGUAUGACUCAGCAGGUUUGGAGUGCAGGGACACAGCUCCACACAUGACGCAACCAUGCCACAUGAGGUGUAUUAAGUAACCACUCAGGUGUGCUUGUGCUUGGCUUGGAGCCACUAUUGUCUGUAAAAGGUAUAACUACCCUGCUGAUGCUGUACAUAUACCUUGCUUGAACCCACAGCCCACUUGUGCCCAGAGAGAGAAUAAAGCCACGUCAAAACUCCCUGCAAUUCUUCAAGUGUUCUUUCAGCUGCCUGCCGCUCGUGCACCCACUCCCCUCAAACCUCAGUUAGAACCUUACAGUAUGUUUCCACAAUACCUUCCUGAUGAGAUUCUUAAGCAUCAUAAAUUACAUUUCCAUUUCUUUCCAGGUACAAGAAGAUCAAUAACAACUUGAACACCUGGGUGUUUUUAGCCACCUUUAUGAAAGGUAGAAAAGCCAUUUUGAGAAGGCCGGCUGUGAAGGCUGGAAGGAUGAUGGUCAGGUUCCCAAACAGUGAAGACCAAGACCUAGAGCUUCCUAUCUCCCAAGAUCCUUCCUGACCUGCUACCUUUUAUUCAUUCUAGAUUCCCUCUACUAAGAGGGCUUUGGCUCCUUGCUUACAUGCAACAUGAUUGUUUUUAUUUAUAUUCAAACGUUUUGAUGGUCAAAGGCCCAGUGUGGGUGGAUGUUGAACUCCUGCAGUUACCAUUACAGCUCCUGCCAACACUGAUGGGCUCCUUCACACAAAAUUUGCUUGCUAUUGUCCCUGACUUUAGGUUCCCGGGGUUGGGGGGUUAUGGGAAAAUAUAGAGAGCACAAUAUUUCCAAACUUAAUUAAAAGAGCCCAGGAGCAAUGAGCAAAAUGAUAUCACCACAUGCUGAUGGAAUACUGAAUAACUGUUCUCUGGCUAGAGGCUCAAGCACAGCAAAGGCAGCUUUUUCCAUGCUUGGUGAAUGGACCAGGGCAUGAUCAUUCAAUCCCUGAGUGUGCAGCUGUGCUGCCUAGCACCCAGUAGGAUUUAUGCUUUAAUAAAUCCUUACUGCAUCUGGGAACUUUUAAAAAAAUAUCGAAGCCCAGGUGCCAUAUCCUGCUAAUUAAAUAGUUGAGGGAUAAGACCCAGGUAUCUGUUAUUUAAAGCUUCUCAGGUUAUUCUAAUGAAAGCACUGUGACUAGCAUCUUAGUUUGUGCUGCUAUAACAGAAUACCUGAAACUGGACAAUUUAUUAAAAAAUAAAUUUAUUUAUCACAGUUCUGGAGGCUGGGAAGUCCAAAAUCAAGGUGCCAACACCUGACAUGGGCCUUCUUACUGCAUUCUGACAUGGUGGAAGGACAAGACAGCAAACUAGCCAAAUGCUGCUGCAAGAAGCCUCUUUUCUAAGGGCCUUAAUUCCAUUAAUGAGGGAGGCAUCCUCUCGGCCUUACCACCUCUGAAAGGCCCCACCUCUUGAUACCAUCACAAUUGGCAACACCUGAGUUUUGGAGAGACCAUUAAAACCACAGCAAACGGUGAUCCAACGGAAAUAAACACAUUAGCAUCUAGGAGGGUCUUCUGUGCUUGAGAUGCUCUGUCCUUCCUCCUCAUUCGUUUCUAACAGCCCCACACAAGUGAUAACAUCACUGACAUGAAAUCUAAGAAGAUCACUUGCAGCUGAAAUCAAGUAGUCUUGCUCGUUUUUAGAGGGAGGCACAACACACAGCCAUGAGAGUUCUAGUGGUGAAGCAGGUAUAACUUUGGAAGUGAAGACCCACUGACCAAAAGAAAAUAAAAGAGAAUAGGUUACAUCAGAAGAUACUUUCUCCUCCAUUCUCUAUCAAUUUUCUUUUCAGAGAUUCUGAUGUGAUUGUGUUGGGGUGGGGCUUCAGAUAUAUAUACUUUUUAAAAGCUCCCCUGAUGAUUCUAAUGUAUGCAAGGUUUGAGAACUACUGGUCUAAGGUUCUCAAGCUUUGCUGUAUAUUAGAAUCAGCUGAGGAGCUUUGUUAAAAUCCUGAUGUCUCAGGCCACGCCCCAUGCCAAUUAAAUCCAAACCUUUAGGGAUAGGACCCAGGCAUCAGCGUCUGUAAAUCUCCCAAGGUAUUUCCAAUGUGCAAAUCAAAGUUGAGAACCAGUGCUUUAAAGUUCCCUACAGAUGAAAGAAUAGCAAAGGAGAAAAGGCCCUGGAUUCUAGGCUCUGCUUUGAUACUAAUUUGCAUGUAACCUUGGACAAGUCAUUUUACCAAUCUGGGCUUCAGUUUUCCCACCUGUGAAAUGUUAUCAACGACUUAUUAUGGCUCUAAUGCACAUCUUCUAUGAAUGUUACCACAGCUUUACAAAGCCAGCUCACUCUACCACGUGUGUUGCCUCCUACAGCUCUCUGCUGUUGAAAAGAGGUGGUCGCCUGCCUCGAGGAUUAACAAUCCUGGGCAUUGUUUCUAAAGCAGAAGGAUAUAAGGGCAUCCCAAGUCUUCCCUACCUCUCUAAUCAGAUUAAAGAUGUAAUGCAACCAUGGUCCUGUGUAGAAUAACUGUCACUAAUCAAUUUGGUCAAGAGUCACGGUCAGAACAUGGCCUGACAUGGUUUGGCUAUCACACGUGUAGAAAGAGCUGUGUUUGAUAGAGUCAGUGUUUGUUCUUUCACAGUACCCCAAUACGUCAGGCACAAACCCCCUGUUGAUCUAGACAGACUUGCAUCACUAGCUGUGAAUCAUCGAGAAUGGCAACAUCUGCAGCGGGGACCUCUAGGCCUGAAAUGCCCCACCACAUUCCUUAUUUAUUUCUAAUAGCAGUACACAAGCAACAUCACUAAAUGAAAGGCAAGGAGAAAAUAAUUAGCAACCAAGUGUCUGGCUCCUUGAUAACCUACAGUUGAGUGAGUUUGGUUGUCAGAAGACCAGGAUUCAAGCCUCAGUUCUCCCUUAUGCUGGCUGCAUGACUUUGGGUAAGCAAAGCUCUGCUAAUAAGGCUCUCAGGCUUUCAUUUCUAAAAUAGGGAUCAUAUCUGCUACUCCUCAGAAGGAUGUAGAUUGGAUGAAGCAACAUAAGGGAGAGCAUUUUGUAAGACACUAUUUCUCUACCUUUUUUCCCUUGGGCUCCCUUCUCUCAAAACACAUAGAAAUUCAUUAUUCUCUUCUGUGAUAUAAUUCUCCCACAGAUGGGUCCCAUUUGAUAUCCCAAACAUCAAGAUGCUGUAAUCUAACACACACGAAGGAUGCAAGCCGUGUGGAGAUGCUACCCAUUAACACAGGACUUAGGAGAAGGCAAUAAGGCAAUUACGAAAAAAAUCCCCAAUCUCAAUUCUGUAUGAGUGUUAGGUGUUCUCACAAAGGAAAGGGAAAUUAUUUCAUUAGGCAGAAUCCAAAUACUAUACAAAACAGAAAGGACAUGGUUUGUUGACAAAAGUGAAACUAUUCUGUGAAACAAAGGCAGCAACAGGGAGAUAGAACAGGAUUUUCCAGUGAGAAAUAAAAGUUGUUAUCAAGGUAACAAGGAUAGGCGUGGUGCUUUGCCUCCUUUUUGCUCCAGUUCUUCCAAACCAGGGAUACUUUUCAGACCAGGGAAAGCAAAUGCAUUCAGCUGUUGAAGCGCUGCUACACCAUCAGAUUUCAAAGACAGAAUCCUCUCCUUAUUCUAAAGGAGACCCAUUUCCACAUGUUAAAUACAAGUUAUUUGAAAAUGACGUGGAGGAUAGAAAUGAUGAAAAUAGUGACAGAGAGGAAGAGUUCUCCCAAGUUACAGAUGAGGACACUGAAAUUUAGAGGUUAAUCCCAUGUAAAGCCAAGAAGUCUGAUCCCAGACUCAGUCUUCUGUCUAUACUACAAGAAUGCUGUGGAAGACGUAUUGUCAAACAAAAAAUACUUGCACCAUUUAUCUGAAAAUCAGACUACUGUCAUCCACAGUAUAGCCCAAACAUAGACAAUAAUCAUGUGCUGAGUGCUUCAUAUGCCCCAGGGUAUCCUCAAUUUACCUAUAUUGACUUAUUUAAUUCAAAGCAACCCUCUGAGUAGAUGCCAUUAUUUCCCUAUUUUAUAGAUGAGGAAACAGAAUCACAGAGAUGUUAAGCAGCUGCCUGAGCUCACACAGCUAAGCAUUGUCAGAGCCCGAAUUCAAACACAGACCAUUGGCUCCAAAUCCCACAUUCCAAUGACUAUUUGAUACUGUACAUCAAUCAAAGACUAAGCAUUAACAAUAACUACCCCAAAACCCUGACAAACAUCUCACUAUGAUUUCUUAAGCCCCACUUGGAGCCUCACUGACUCUUAUUUAACAUCUAAUUCUCAACAAGUUUGCAAAGAACUUUCACGUGCAAGGCUGGCAUGAUCUGGCCCGUGCCUCCAGCUCCACCUUCAUCUUCUGCCAUUUCCCCUAUGCUCCAGCCUCACAAGCCUCUUUGGUGCCCUCCUUGGGGCCUUGGCACCUGCUAUUCCCUUUGCCUAGAAUGGUCUUUUCGUCAUUCCGUGCCUGUUGACCUCCUACUCUCCCUUUAGACCUCAGUUUAAGUGUCACUUCCUCAUGGAACUUUACCAUCAUUCUGCUUUUUUAUGAUACUUUUCUAUCAGAGCACUCACCACACAGUUAUAGACUUGUGUGAUUACUGCAUUUACAAGGCCAAGAGUAGUGGCAGUUCUGCUCCCCCCUGUAUUAAGUGUACUUGCUCUGGAACACAAUGGCUGUAGAAUAAAUAUUUGUUGGCUGCAUUAAUUAGUGACACUAUUACACAUUAAUCUUCAUAAUAAUGCUUGAAGAUGAGUGGACAAUGGUAGCAUUAAGCUCAUUUUAAACAUGAGGGUACUCAAGACCUGAAAUAUUUGGAGUGAUUUGCCAUAACACUAUUCCUAAAGUGGUGGAGCUAGAAUUCAACUCAUUCAAGGUCAGGUGGUCCAAGAGCCCAGCGCUGUCUUUUAUCCACUUGAUGCGAUGAAUAAAUAAUGAAGUGUGCUGUGUUUUCAAUAGCAAAUAAGUUGCAGACUCACAGGGUUAGACAAGCAUAUCAUCAAAACCAGAUCUAUGCCCAUUUGCCUUUCUUAUUUCCCCAGAAUCAGAAAACACGAAUAUUCUGUUUUUGAUUGAUAGUCACUGAAAGUCCACAGUUUUAGGCACCGUAUAGAACAAGGCCUUGGUUCCAAACAUUAUCUAACAAGAUAGAAGGUCAAAUUCAAGCAAUUUCAAGUUGUCCUUGGAGUUUAGUCCAAAAACCUUAAUGAUAUUGACUCAGCAUUUGUUUAGAGUCAACAGGAACAGUAACCAAAUGCAC